rnacentral:rRNA from 1 species
AUUGAACGCUGGCGGCAUGCCUUACACAUGCAAGUCGAACGGCAGCACGGGGCAACCUGGUGGCGAGUGGCGAACGGGUGAGUAAUGCAUCGGAACGUACCUUUCAGUGGGGGAUAACGUAGCGAAAGUUACGCUAAUACCGCAUAUUCUGUGAGCAGGAAAGCAGGGGAUCGCAAGACCUUGCGCUAGUUGAGCGGCCGAUGUCAGAUUAGCUAGUUGGUGAGGUAAAGGCUCACCAAGGCGACGAUAUGUAGGUGGUCUUAGAGGAUGGUCCGCCACACUGGAACUGAGACACGGUCCAGACUCCUACGGGAGGCAGCAGUGGGGAAUUUUGGACAAUGGGGGCAACCCUGAUCCAGCCAUGCCGCGUGAGUGAAGUAGGCCUUGGGGUUGUAAAGCUCUUUCGGCCGGGAAGAAAUCGCACGGGCUAAUACCCUGUGUGGAUGACGGUACCGGAAUAAGAAGCACCGGCUAACUACGUGCCAGCCGCCGCCGUAAUAC